rnacentral:rRNA from 1 species
GCGGUAUUCUGUACCGUGCAAAGGUAGCGCAAUCACUCGUCCCUUAAAUAAGGUCCUGUAUGAAUGGCUAGACGAGGGCUUAACUGUCUCCCCCUUCAGGUCAGUGAAAUUGAUCUAUCCGUGCAGAAGCGGAUAUAAUAAUACAAGACGAGAAGACCCUUUGGAGCUUCAGGUACAAAACUUAUCUACGUAAAAUAACCUAAUCAAAGCACAAAACCUAGUAUGAAUAAGAUUAUACCUUCGGUUGGGGCGACCAUGGAGGAAAAAAUAGCCUCCAAGUGGAUUGGACACAUCCCAAAAACCAAGAGAAACAUCUCUACGUCACAGAACAUCUGACCAAAUAUGAUCCGGUCAUAUGACCGAUCAACGGACCAAGUUACCCUAGGGAUAACAGCGCAAUCCUCUCCAAGAGUCCAUAUCGACGAGGGGGUUUACGACCGCGAUGUUG